GCUACUUCCGCGAUUUCUGCGACUUCUGUGACUUACCACCGUAUGAAAAAGCUACAUCUGUCCACACAGGAAAUUGCAUCUCAACAAACCUGUCAUUGGUACCCGAACUACAUUUCAGUCACUCAGUAAAGUGAUAACUCGAAAUAUCAUUGUCAGCAGAUCUGGAGAAAUUGCCACUGCGUCUUUAGACCGUUUUCGUCAGACGAGAGACACAGUUCUGGUUGCUGUACGUAUCUAUCCACAUCAAGGCUGUUGGGAGAGACUCGUGAAGAUUCAAGAGAGCUCUUAGAGGAUUUGCAGUUUAAAAGUGACAUUAUUGCGAAAUAAGUGUGCAG